rnacentral:rRNA from 1 species
UACGUAGGCAGCAAGCGUUGUUCGGAAUUACUGGGCGUAAAGAGCGUGUAGGUGGUGUCGUAAGUUUGGUGUGAAAUCUCCCGGCUUAACUGGGAGGGUGCGCCGAAGACUGCGAUGCUGGAGUAUGGGAGAGGAAAGCGGAAUUCCUGGUGUAGCGGUGAAAUGCGUAGAUAUCAGGAGGAACACCUGCGGUGUAGACGGCUUUCUGGACCAUUACUGACACUGAGACACGAAAGCGUGGGUAGCAAACAGG